UACGAAGGGGGCUAGCGUUGUUCGGAAUCACUGGGCGUAAAGCGCACGUAGGCGGAUCUUUAAGUCAGGGGUGAAAUCCUGGAGCUCAACUCCAGAACUGCCUUUGAUACUGGGGAUCUCGAGUCCGGAAGAAGUGAGUGGAACUCCGAGUGUAGAGGUGAAAUUCGUAGAUAUUCGGAAGAACACCAGUGGCGAAGGCGGCUCACUGGUCCGGUACUGACGCUGAGGUGCGAAAGCGUGGGGAGCAAACAGG
rnacentral:rRNA from 1 species